rnacentral:rRNA from 1 species
CAGUAGCCGCGGUAAUACGUAGGGUGCGAGCGUUAAUCGGAAUUACUGGGCGUAAAGCGUGCGCAGGCGGUUCGUUAAGACAGAUGUGAAAUCCCCGGGCUUAACCUGGGAACUGCAUUUGUGACUGGCGAGCUAGAGUAUGGCAGAGGGGGGUAGAAUUCCACGUGUAGCAGUGAAAUGCGUAGAUAUGUGGAGGAACACCGAUGGCGAAGGCAGCCCCCUGGGCUAAGAUUGACGCUCAUGCACGAAAGCGUGGGGAGCAAACAGGAUUAGAUACCCGUGUAGUCCCUGUCUCUUAUAC